UCAGACCACUCAGCUAUGACGAAAGCAAAUUGUAAAGAUUUGACAAGCAGUAACAACAAAUGCGCAAUUGUCCAAAUCGCUCAUCCACGAAGCAAUGUAUUAUGACUGAUUAUUGAGCAUUGUCCCGUAAAACUUAAAUUUCAAGGCUAUUCUCCCUUGUUGAGAUACUACAACUUUCUAUACCAUUAGGUGUCCUCUUUUGCCGGGCAAUUGCUUCAAGACCAGAAAUAACAUUGUUCCUCUCUGGGGCUCUAUUUUCAAUUUCGUGUUCUACUAAUUUGUGAGAAGAAGAC